CAAUUACUUCCUCUCCCUGAACUGAUUGCUGCUGCAGUUGUUCGACGUGUGUAUGCCAACAAAUACUACAACAAAAAGGAGUUUGGUGAUUGUCGUCCAACAAAUUGGUCCCGGUGCUCGGUCUUCAGGUUAAAGCAAGAUUCGGACUUGCUAUUUCUGAAGACUCCUCACGUCUUCUCGGCCGUCUCUGACCAAAGGAUAAUGAGUAGGAAAUAAAAGCUCGGGACAAGAAAGA